CAGGUAUGCUUCGUGGAGAUGAGCUUCAAAAGGAUGAAACCCGAAACUGUGAGCUUCACACCACUAGGUGAUGGCUAGCGAUUGAGGAGUUCGACGCUUGCAACAGCCAGCCAUUGACGGCCAACGAUUGAGGAUGUCGAUAGCAAUGAUUGAAGGUGCAUCAACAAUGUAGGAGCUGCAGUAGGAGUUGGAAUAUCAUUGAGGGUGAUCAUCGAAGGAGGAGUUGCCAUUAACAUGUUUAUUGGAAGGGUUUAGGGGUAUUUGCAAUGACCACCAUCAACUUUGAAGAAGUAGUGGCCGAGUGGGGUAUUGGAAGCUCUCUGUUAAAUUUUUAGAUUUUUCCUUC